GACGAACGCUGGCGGCGUGCCUAAUACAUGCAAGUAGAGCGCUGAAGGAGGAGCUUGCUUCUCUGGAUGAGUUGCGAACGGGUGAGUAACGCGUAGGUAACCUGCCUGGUAGCGGGGGAUAACUAUUGGAAACGAUAGCUAAUACCGCAUAAUAGUAGAUGUUGCAUGACAUUUGCUUAAAAGGUGCAAUUGCAUCACUACCAGAUGGACCUGCGUUGUAUUAGCUAGUUGGUGGGGUAACGGCUCACCAAGGCGACGAUACAUAGCCGACCUGAGAGGGUGAUCGGCCACACUGGGACUGAGACACGGCCCAGACUCCUACGGGAGGCAGCAGUAGGGAAUCUUCGGCAAUGGACGGAAGUCUGACCGAGCAACGCCGCGUGAGUGAAGAAGGUUUUCGGAUCGUAAAGCUCUGUUGUAAGAGAAGAACGAGUGUGAGAGUGGAAAGUUCACACUGUGACGGUAUCUUACCAGAAAGGGACGGCUAACUACGUG
rnacentral:rRNA from 1 species